CUCCAGCACCCGGCUCUCCAGCCACAGGACCUGCGGGGUGACCAGGCCAUCAUCCAUCUGGGCAUCCACAGGGACACAGCACACACAGGACAGGCUGGCACACGUAGGCACACAUCAGUGCCCACCUCACUCUUCAGCUCGAAGAUUUCAGCCUCGUGUUGCUCCUUCAGGCGAUGGGUUUUGAUCUGCAGGUCCACCAGCUCCUUGCAGACCUGUGGAUGGCCAGGAUGAGAGAUCGGCACCCCAGCAUUUAUCAGGGACGCGGAUGGAACCACGAGUGCAUAGAAGGGCUCAGCCUGGGGACGUGUGGGACA